rnacentral:lncRNA from 1 species
UCGUCCUUGGCAGAUGUGCAAACAAACAAAGAGACGAAUAAAUUCACCAUUAAUUUUUCAGAUAUGUAAAUGUCGUAUCCAAGCAACAACGCUCAUAUAAGAAAGCGUUGUUACUAUAUCAUCUUCAACAACUCUUCUUUAUUAAAGUCUUGUGAAAUAGAUGUAAAUUAACAGCGCCACUUUAAAGGUGCAAUGUUAAACAUAACUCAUUCAAGCUAGUGCUAACAUCACUGAUGUUCAACAUUACUUUUUCUAGUCUGCGCUGUUGAAG